CACGUAGGGGGCAAGCGUUGUCCGGAUUUAUUGGGCGUAAAGAGCUCGUAGGUGGUUCGGUAAGUCGGGUGUUAAACCCCCAGGCUCAACCUGGGGACGCCACUCGAUACUGCUGUGACUAGAGUCCGGUAGGGGAGCGUGGAAUUCCUGGUGUAGCGGUGAAAUGCGCAGAUAUCAGGAGGAACACCGGUGGCGAAGGCGGGUCUCUGGGCCGAUACUGACGCUGAGGAGCGAAAGCGUGGGGAGCAAACAGG
rnacentral:rRNA from 1 species